AAUGUGGUGGGAUGGUGUUCCACCCUCCCAACUAUGUGCACCAGGUGUAUCAAGUAGCGUGCAGUUGAUUGGUGGGCGGGGCAAAUAGCUUUAUAGCUGAGCAGGCCGCUGCGAGGUGUGUGUCUUUGUUUCCCAUACUACAUGACGGCUGCCCAAGUGGCUGGUGUGCUUGAUCCGCUCAUCUGAAUUGUAAGUGCCAUUUUGUACCAUCUGGCUGGGAUUGUGGUUAGGUUUUGGUGCUAUACCUGCCGUGCGUUUCUGGAGCGUUGCUCGGCUGGCGUUAGCGGCUGCAGCUGGAGGUUGUUACGGCGUGUGGCUUCCAUCUAGCCCUUGCCUGCUGAUCCGCUCUCUCCCUGGGUCGGCUGUGCUACUACUGCUGGGAUUGUUUGGAGUUGCAGCGCUUGGACGCUCUGCUGUCUUAUUGUUUGUUUGGGCCGCUCUGAAGGCAACCUGUUGCUGAUUGGACAGGCUGAGCGAGCGGGACCGACUCCUCUGGCCCAUUUGAAGGGCACUGAAAUUGGACGACGAUUUGUUCCACCGUUUAAAGUGUUUGUGUUUUUUCCUUUUACAGUUUGUUUGCUUAUUAUUGAAUUUACUAAUGAGUUUGCUUUUUUGUUUUGAUUUACUAAUUUGUUUUCUUUGGCAUUACAUGUUUUGUUUGUUCAUUUAUUUUUUUGGAAUAAUUCAAGUUGUCACUUUUAUUUCACAUGAUCCCUUUUCAUUUCUAGGGACAGAGUAGUGGGCCCGAAGCCUUGCUUUUAAAAAGAAAUGUUUUAAAUGAAAUUGUUUAAAUAAAAUAUUGUGAACUA